GUGCUCACUUCUGCAGCAGAUGUACUAAAAUUGGAACAACACAGAGUAGAUUAGCAUAGCCCCUGCACAAGGAUGAUAUGCAAAAUUUUGAAACAUUCCAUUUUUUU
rnacentral:snRNA from 1 species